GAUGAAGAACGUAGCGAAAUGCGAUAAGUAAUGUGAAUUGCAGAAUUCAGUGAAUCAUCGAAUCUUUGAACGCACAUUGCGCCCGCCAGUAUUCUGGCGGGCAUGCCUGUUCGAGCGUCAUUACAACCCUCAGGCCCCCGGGCCUGGCGUUGGGGAUCGGCGGAGCCCCCCGUGGGCACACGCCGUCCACCAAAUGCAGUGGCGGUCCCGCCGCAGCUUCCAUCGCGUAGUAGCUAACACCUCGCGACUGGAGAGCGGCGCGGCCACGCCGUAAAACACCCAACUCUUCUGAAGUUGACCUCGAAUCAGGUAGGAAUACCCGCUGAACUUAAGCAUAUCAAUAAGCGGAGGA
rnacentral:misc_RNA from 1 species